UAAGAAGCUUCCAUCGCUCGCAGCGGAAAAUAUCAACCGAGUCCGAGGAAUUUUAACGUGGCAGGGCUUCAGUGGCAGUAUGAGCCAGACGGGCCUGAGACAAACGGAAAGAGCUCUGGUCUGACGCUAGCGUUAACUGUGGCAACGGCCGCGGUGGCGGUGUUAUCUAGAUUUGCGGAUCACGUUUGUCGUAUCGAUCCACUGAAUUUGGCGCCACUGUACUAGACACGUAUACUCCAACCCAUUUUUCAAUACGUUAUUUGCUAAAGGUCAAAGAAGCAGCCUUGCCGUUCAUCAUGCUUGGUAUGCCUUUAGUGUCGUCUGGUUGACCUGAUCCCGCGAUACGUGUGGUUGGCAAAGUUUGAGCAGCCACACAUUUGGGAAGACCCCUGCUCCCUUUCCUUCCUAGCCGGGUCUGACUGUGUAACGCGCACAAGGAUGCCAGAGGAAGCAAUAGCUGCCCGUGAACAGAGGCCACACAUGAUGCCAAUAUGUUUGAUAAAACAGCACCAGCUCUUCUAGUUUCGGGUUAAACUAUAGCACAGAGGUGCCGGAGUAUAGGUGAGGCUGACUCGCUUGAAAAGGCCAGAUACCUUUGAACCGCAUCGUAACGCAGGGCGCGGCUCUUUGACACAGUUCAGAAAAGACUGCAGACUCAAGAUGGCCAACGAAAAUAGAGAGUGGUAGGCGGUACGUGCCGGCGUUAGUAACUGCGGCGGGGUCAAUGACAAAUUGCGUUUUGUCCGACAGCGGAACAUUUUAUUUUACCAGGCCAUCGGGACUAGUCGCUAGUGAUCUAACUAUAGCUACCUCUGCUUUUACUCUACUGUCUCAAAGCGUCCGUGCACGGGUAGUUGUGUUUAGACGAACUGUUAGCUAUUCCCAACAUUCGCAUAGCGCAAGGCUAGUUUUUUCGCGCUGAUUACAGCGAGCUGAAUCGGUCUUAUGUGAGUAUAACUCUCACUGGCUGUUUCGUAACACGAGCGUCCUAAUCUUCACGAAGAACUGCGUGAAAAAGCAUUUCUUCCAUAUACUACCGUGAAACAUGUCAGAAGCAGCAGUCUAACGGGUUUAGGCUCGUUGCGGCGGAGAGCUAUUGGAAGACGAUAAUGAGGCUAGAAUCAAGAUCCCUUAACCAUACCAAAGUAAAAAGGAGCUCUGAAUAUUGCCGCAGGAUUACAAUGGAAAUCACGCGAGUUUACAGUUUUAAAUUGUUCCAGAAAAACCAAUGAUUAGUGCCAUUAACCAAUGAUGAAUUAGAAUGUGUGCUGUGAUUUUGAAACACUGCGGUUUUGUCUGCUAGCAUAUAGCAUGCCGGCUAUGCUCUACGCACGGCCUACGUGAAAAAAAUUGACACUUUGUAAUUGUUUAAAGAUGUGAGGUAUAUUUUAUCAUCGAAGAAGACUAUGCGUCGUUUUCUUAUUUCGUUACGAUAAAAUUAUAGUAUUAGAACGUUAGCAGAUGGCUAAAAGUUACCUGUAGUUGCACAGGAGGCCUCGGAAGCCAAUCAAAUUACGUAUUUGUCUGUCGCAGUCGGAUUGUUUCAUUAACGGACCUAUUGGAAGUAUUGCAGUAAGCAUAAAAUUCAAUCCCGAAUUUCGUUCGGGUCUCUUAUCGCCAGUUUCGAUGUCUGUUUUACUAUUUAAACCGCUGUGUUGUUUGUA
rnacentral:lncRNA from 1 species